GAUACCUGAGGUCUGUCAUCUGAGCAGUGCUAAUUGCUUAUGUCGCUCUCUUUUCUCUUCUCUUUGUCUCUCACCAGCUCUUUCUGUCACUUUCUCUCUCAUCUCUCUCUGUGCUACCCUCUCCUCUCUCCUCUCUCCCCCCCUCUCCUGUGUCUCUGUGCUGCCCUCUCCUCUCUCUCCUCUCCCUUCUCUCUCCUCUUUCUCUUCUCUCCCCCCUCCCCUAUGUCUCUGUGUUGCCCGCUGUCCUCUCUCCCCUCUCUCUCUCCACUCUCUCUAUGUUGCCCUCUCUCUCGUCUCUCUUUCCUCUCUCCUCUCUCAGGGGUCUUUAUGUAACACUUCAACCCCCAAUGCACAAGUGGGAGCAAUUGUUUGUUUUUGGACUUUGUUACGUAUUGAAUCUGCCAACCUUGUCUCAAAAGGUGUAUGCAUGUGCUUUUUGUGUCUUUGCGUUUGUGUUUAUCGGAGGGUGGGUGUGUGUGUAAAUCUGUGUGUGUGUGUGUGUGACGACACUCACAGUACCAUGAGGUUUGUGUGUUUGUGUGUGUGUGUGUAUGUACACGUGUGUGUUGACACUCACAGUACCAUGAGGUUUGUGUGUUUGUGUUUGUCUGUGUGUUUGUGUGUGUGUGUGUUGAAGCUCACGAUACCAUGAGAUUUGUGUGUUUGUGUGUUUAUGGGUGUGUGUGUGGUGUUGAUGUACCAUGAAGUUUGUGUGUGUGUUGUGGUGUGUGUGGUGUUGAUGUACCAUGAAGUUUGUGUGUGUGUGUGGGUGUGUGUGGUGCUGAUGUACCAUGAGGCUUCGCUGUACUUGUGACAAAAACAACAGGUGCCGGUUUGAAAAGAUCCGUUCCCCAGGGGAAACUCUGUGCCAGACUAAAACAAAGAACAUUAUAUCAGCCUCAGCGAUGAAAACACAGGCGGUAUCGAACACAAAUAUAGAUCAUCCCUUAGUAUCAAGGAUUGAGAAAUGCUCUUGACUCUGUUUGAAAGGGCUCAGCAAACAGAUGGGAAUCACUAUAACUUCUACACCAGAACCGUUUUGCUAGAACAGAGAUGGAUGAUGGACGAUGAUAAUGUUGGGUUGAAAAGCAAACGUUAGCUGGAGGAUAUUGGACCCAUCACAGGUGGACAGCAAGGGGAUUCAACGAUUGAAACAUCGCUGAAUCACAGAGGAAAUCCGAGGCAGAAUGCGCACUGUGAACUUGGAGCUCAGAGAACGAAUCGCUGAGCUGGGCAUUUUGUUCCGGGCCCGAUGGUAUAAAUUUCAAACGGUGUAUAAAACAUUGAUGUUUAUUGGUUUGCCUAUUUUGGUGAUUCCUGAAACAGGCAUGAACCUGCCAUCUUGGGUCGAGACCCCUCAUCGUAAAGGAAUGAUGUCAAAGGUCCUGUGAAUGUGAAUCAUUGCUGUACCAGAGAGGUCAAAGGUCAGCCCCUUCUGGUGUCUUAAACGUGUGUGUGUGUGUGUGUGUGUGUGUGUGUGUG
ensembl:lncRNA